rnacentral:rRNA from 1 species
GAUGAACGCUGGCGGCGUGCCUAAUACAUGCAAGUCGAGCGAACAGACGAGGAGCUUGCUCCUCUGACGUUAGCGGCGGACGGGUGAGUAACACGUGGAUAACCUACCUAUAAGACUGGGAUAACUUCGGGAAACCGGAGCUAAUACCGGAUAAUAUAUUGAACCGCAUGGUUCAAUAGUGAAAGACGGUUUUGCUGUCACUUAUAGAUGGAUCCGCGCCGCAUUAGCUAGUUGGUAAGGUAACGGCUUACCAAGGCAACGAUGCGUAGCCGACCUGAGAGGGUGAUCGGCCACACUGGAACUGAGACACGGUCCAGACUCCUACGGGAGGCAGCAGUAGGGAAUCUUCCGCAAUGGGCGAAAGCCUGACGGAGCAACGCCGCGUGAGUGAUGAAGGUCUUCGGAUCGUAAAACUCUGUUUUUAGGGAAGAACAAAUGUGUAAGUAACUAUGCACGUCUUGACGGUACCUAAUCAGAAAGCCACGGCUAACUACGUG